CAGUAUAUAGUUUAAAAAAAAUUUAGGUUUUGGGAAUUUAAGAUGCUUUAUAGUUUUACUGA
rnacentral:tRNA from 2 species